UUUAUGGAGAGUUUGAUCCUGGCUCAGGAUGAACGCUGGCGGCGUGCCUAAUACAUGCAAGUCGAGCGAACAGAUGAGGAGCUUGCUCCUCUGACGUUAGCGGCGGACGGGUGAGUAACACGUGGAUAACCUACCUAUAAGACUGGGAUAACUACGGGAAACCGGAGCUAAUACCGGAUAAUAUAUUGAACCGCAUGGUUCAAUAGUGAAAGACGGUUUUGCUGUCACUUAUAGAUGGAUCCGCGCCGCAUUAGCUAGUUGGUAAGGUAACGGCUUACCAAGGCAACGAUGCGUAGCCGACCUGAGAGGGUGAUCGGCCACACUGGAACUGAGACACGGUCCAGACUCCUACGGGAGGCAGCAGUAGGGAAUCUUCCGCAAUGGGCGAAAGCCUGACGGAGCAACGCCGCGUGAGUGAUGAAGGUCUUCGGAUCGUAAAACUCUGUUAUUAGGGAAGAACAAAUGUGUAAGUAACUAUGCACGUCUUGACGGUACCUAAUCAGAAAGUCACGGCUAACUACGUGCCAGCAGCCGCGGUAAUACGUAGGUGGCAAGCGUUAUCCGGAAUUAUUGGGCGUAAAGCGCGCGUAGGCGGUUUUUUAAGUCUGAUGUGAAAGCUCACGGCUCAACCGUGGAGGGUCAUUGGAAACUGGAAAACUUGAGUGCAGAAGAGGAAAGUGGAAUUCCAUGUGUAGCGGUGAAAUGCGCAGAGAUAUGGAGGAACACCAGUGGC
rnacentral:rRNA from 1 species